UAAGACGAACCGUGCAAACGUUGUUCGGAAUCACUGGGCUUAAAGGGCGCGUAGGCGGGCCAUCCAGUCCGGGGUGAAAUCUUUCGGCUUAACCGGAAAAGUGCCUUGGAUACUGAUGGCCUCGAGCGAGGUAGGGGCAGGCGGAACUUCCGGUGGAGCGGUGAAAUGCGUUGAUAUCGGAAGGAACUCCGGUGGCGAAAGCGGCCUGCUGGACCUUUUCUGACGCUGAGGCGCGAAAGCUAGGGGAGCAAACGGGAUUAGAUACCCCGGUAGUCCUAGCCCUAAACGAUGGGUACUAGGUAGUGGACUUGACAUGGGUUCACUGCCGAAGCAAAAGUGUUAAGUACCCCGCCUGGGGAGUAUGGUCGCAAGGCUG
rnacentral:rRNA from 1 species